rnacentral:rRNA from 1 species
UAUUAGGUUUAUCCAACUCGUUGACCAGUAACGUAUUUGUUUAUUACACAGGCUCGGCCUUACAACAACAAACAAAGUUUGACCUCAAAUCAGGUAGGACUACCCGCUGAACUUAAGCAUAUCAAUAAGCGGAGGAAAAGAAACCAACAGGGAUUGCAUUAGUAACGGCGAGUGAAGCGGCAAAAGCUCAAAUUUGAAAUCUAGCACUUUCAGUGUUCGAGUUGUAAUUUGAAGAAGGUAACUUUGGAAUUGGCUCUCGUCUAUGUUCCUUGGAACAGGACGUCACAGAGGGUGAGAAUCCCGUGCGAUGAGAUGUCCAAUUCUAUGUAAAGUGCUUUCGAAGAGUCGAGUUGUUUGGGAAUGCAGCUCUAAGUGGGUGGUAAAUUCCAUCUAAAGCUAAAUAUUGGCGAGAGACCGAUAGCGAACAAGUACAGUGAUGGAAAGAUGAAAAGAACUUUGAAAAGAGAGUGAAAAAGUACGUGAAAUUGUUGAAAGGGAAGGGCUUGAGAUCAGACUUGGUAUUUUGUGUUCCUUAUUCUUUUUGGAUUUGGUUCCUCACAGCUUACCGGGCCAGCAUCGGUUUGGAUGGUAGGAUAAUGACAUUGGAAUGUAGCUUUGCUUCGGUGAAGUGUUAUAGACUUUGUUGAUACUGCCUAUCUAGACCGAGGACUGCGUCU